GGCUCGGUAGCUUAGUUGGAAAAGCACUAGUCUAGCGUAUGAGGGUCGUGAGUUUAAAUUUUACCUGAGCUG
rfam:Aedes albopictus isolate Foshan contig154010, whole genome shotgun sequence.